rnacentral:rRNA from 1 species
AUUGAACGCUGGCGGCAGGCUUAACACAUGCAAGUCGAGCGAGCGGCGGACGGGUGAGUAAUGUCUGGGAAACUGCCUGAUGGAGGGGGAUAACUACUGGAAACGGUAGCUAAUACCGCAUACCAUCAGAUGUGCCCAGAUGGGAUUAGCUAGUAGGUGGGGGAAUGGCUCACCUAGGCGCCGAUCCCUAUCUGGUCUGAGAGGAUGACCAGCCACACUGGAACUUGAGCACGGUCCCUACUCCGUCGGGAGGCAGCAGUGGGGAAGAUUGCACAAUGGGGGCAAGCCUGAUGCAGCCAUGCCGCGUGUGUGAAGAAGGCCGUCGGGUUGGAAAGCACUUUCAGCGAGGAGGCGUUACUCGCAGAAGAAGCACCGGCUAACUCCGUGCCAGCAGCCGCGGUAAUAC